UACGAAGGGGGCUAGCGUUGCUCGGAAUCACUGGGCGUAAAGGGUGCGUAGGCGGGUCUUUAAGUCAGGGGGGAAAUCCUGGAGCUCAACUCCAGAACUGCCUUUGAUACUGAAGAUCUUGAGUCCGGGAGAGGUGAGUGGAACUGCGAGUGUAGAGGUGAAAUUCGUAGAUAUUCGCAAGAACACCAGUGGCGAAGGCGGCUCACUGGCCCGGUACUGACGCUGAGGCACGAAAGCGUGGGGAGCAAACGGG
rnacentral:rRNA from 1 species